CCUUGGUCCCAUCCAACAUCUAAUCCUUUGGUGCUGACAUCCCCUGCAAAGUGACCCUCUCUCAAUGCCAUGUGAAGCUCAUCACCAAGCUAGAGAAAUCCCUCAAAAUAAGUUUUGAGUGUUUACAGCCAAAUAGCACCAAAGAUGGUGACUGCUCGACAGAACCCUCCACUGAGAAGAGUCUCCCCAUUGGCCACGAGCAUCUUCAUCUUCUCAGUCGGAGCCGGUGCGACGCCCACCCAUCGGGCUGCGGCAGAGCUAAUGAAAUUGUGCGUGCUCCCACUGUCAACGAGAAACACGAUCUUGCCGCACCCCAAGUCUCCCUUCAACCGCAUCGUGCGAGGCCCUCGGGUUCCAGUGAUGGCAUGUAGAGAAAUUGCAGCUUGCGCCCCUUCAUGAAAUUCAGGGUCAUCAUUGCCGCCCUCCUCAACGGAGGUUCUUCCUUCACCAUCCUCCAGUUCCAGCCAAAACAAUUUGGCACAUCUAUGGCCAGGUUAGUGUCGGCGAUGACAUGGGUGGCAAAUUAAGGGUAUUUUGGUCUCUGGCGCAUUAUUGCGUCGUUCGGCUUGAUGUUUGGCAUCGUACAGCUGCGCCAAGCCUAUUGCGGCGAUAAGGCUCGUGGGGUGGCCUGCUUGCACCUCUGGCCGAAUGGUGUCCUUCAGCCCACUGAUUAAACAACCCAGUUGGUGUUCUGUGGAGAGUCGUCCAACACGACUUAACAGCCUUUCAAAUUGUGCUUGGCAGCCCGUGGGGCGGCCUGCUUGCACAUCUGGCUGAAUGGUGUCCUUCAGCCCACUGAUGAAACACCCCAGUUGGUGUUCUGUGGAGAGUCGUCCAACACGACUUAACAACCUUUCAAAUUGUGCUUGGGAUGCCGUUUAUUUCAGAGUUUUCAUUUUAGAAAAGUGGUUCAAGAUGCUCAAAAGAAGAUUCUAUGCAGAUUCAAAGUCAAAGAAGUCAGAUCUCAAGAUUUCGUCUAGACGACCUAGUCAUGCGUUCGGACGCCCAUCAGUGUCUAGAAGUUUCAAAGAGUUCAAGGUAGCAUCCGUCCGGAUGUCAUGGAAACAUGUCCGGACGCUCAUUAGAGAUCGACAAGAAAUUGGAUUUCCUUCACAGACACAGAUAUAAGAAGACAGCUCCAUCCGUCCAGACAACAGGGCAACAACGUCCGGAAGCUAUCCUUGAUAAGGCAAGACGUGGAGAAGAAUUGCAACCGUCCGAAUGACAGGGCAACACUGUCUGGACGUAGUCUUUAUUAUGAAAGUUGUGUGCAGAAGAAGUACAACCGUCCGGACGCUAGGGCAACACCAUCCGGAUGCGGCCCUGAUAUGGUAUUGUGUGGAGUGCGGUAUGGAAGGUCGGUUGCACAGCUGUCCGUCCGGAUGACUUCAGCUUGCGUCCAGACGCCGCCUAAAGAAAACCAAAUCAGUGUCGAUUUAGGUCUUCUGUAGCCUAUAUAUAGAGGCCUCUAGACAUGUAUUAUUUACAAAAUUUGGUAUUGAAUUCUUUAGUGCUUAGAGAGUAUAUUUUAGGGAGAAAUUGUGAAGAUCCGCUAACUCUCUAGCCGUUGCCGUGGUGCUGUUGCUGUACUCAUAACUGAAGUUAAUCUUAAGAAGGAGCCCUAAGGUAAAGGAAUCCAUUGAAGACCUCUUCAAGUAAGAGACUUGGUUAGGAGGCGUUCACGUUGUGUUAAGUGUCAGAGUGCUAGAUACGAUCACUGCAUCGGGUAUGUGAGUGUUACUGUCUAUAUACUACCUUUGUCUUCUGAUAGUGGAUUUCCUGGGCUUGGUUGCUCUCGAGUGAUUUUUCUCUUAAUUGAGUUUCCACUUCGUUAACAAAAUAUUUGUAUUCUUUAAAUUCUGCAUUAACAAUAUUUUGUUACACAUUGUGCACGCACACACAGAGCAAAUUAGAAGUCUUUUAAUUUUCAAUUGGUAUCAAAGCUUGAUACACUCUGUUUAGAUUUA